UUGAAUGGCACAUACCAUUUGUGCCAUGACCAUCCGGACCAGCUAUCUUCUGCAUAAUCCAUAAAUACGAAUGAAUCAAGAUAUAUGUUUAUGGAAAUAAAUACAUAACACUACUAUAAAGAUUUCAGUGCUUUCAUUUUUUCUGAAGGAGAACUAUGGGGGAGUUCCCCACAGCGCUUCGCGUUAAAUAAAACAGAGGGUCUUUACAAAGUUUAUGGAAUAAUUACAACAACGAGGGGGGCUGAAUUAAAUUAAAUUAUUGUUACUAGCCAUUGUACAUUUUGAGGUCUAAGCUCCUCUCUACCUCUGUGAAGUUGCACAGUUACAUUAAAAGUUUUAUAAUGUAGAAACUUUCAAAAUAUAUCUGGUUCUGAGUAUUUACAUGGUCGUGGACACUUUUAUUUUCAUGCAAUAAUUUCUGUAAAGGGGUUACUAUACCUUCUUCUGAAGUUUUCUCCCUCUGAACAUGCCUGUUAUCGGCCCGUUUGUUUUAAGAAACUCUUCCGCUUCAAGUUUGGAACGGAAUUUCCUUUGGUACACCCUAUGUUUGUAGGUCUACAUAUAAGCAAUUUACAUGGAGUUAAUAUCAUGCUUUUACAUGAGUGAUAAUAAUGUGACAAAUAUAUGCUUUACUUCAUAUGAUUACAUGGACUGUCCUUGAACAUUAGAAAUGCAGUCUUCAAUAUUUAUCAAGUUCUAAUGUUGUAUACAUGCACAGCACUAUAGAACAAAAAUAUCCUGUGAAACUUCCACUCAUGAAAAUAAACUCAUUUCUAUAUUGUUAAACAAUGAUAAAUAUCCUGUCGAACUUGUGGUCUAAGAAUAAAAUCAGAAGCUUAUAAGAUAUGAUAUAUCCUAGUUAAGAGUUUUUUCAACACACAAUGAAC
rnacentral:lncRNA from 1 species